rnacentral:rRNA from 1 species
GGUCAAAUCAUCAUGCCCUUUAUGUCUUGGGCAACACACGUGCUACAAUGGCUGCAACAAAGUGACGCGAGACAGUGAUGUUAAGCCAACCACAAAAAAGCAGUCUCAGUUCGGAUUGCAGUCUGCAACUCGACUGCAUGAAGCCGGAAUCGCUAGUAAUCGCGGAUCAGCAUGUCGCGGUGAAUACGUUCCCGGGCCUU